rnacentral:rRNA from 1 species
CCCCGUUGACCGGGAUAACCACCCGAAAGGGGGGCUAAUACCGGAUACGAAGCCCUAGCGCAUGAUGGGGCUUGGAAAAGGGGAAACUGCGACGGGAGGGUCUCGCGGCCUAUCAGCUUGUUGGUGAGGUAACGGCCCACCAAGGCGACGACGGGUAGCCGGCCUGAGAGGGCGAUCGGCCACACUGGGACUGAGACACGGCCCAGACUCCUACGGGAGGCAGCAAGCGGGAAUAUUGUCCAAUGGGCGAAAGCCUGAGACAGCGACGCCGCGUGAGGGAUGAAGGCAUUCGUGUUGUAAACCUCUGUUGACGGGGACGAAGAUCUGACGGUACCCGUCGAGGAAGCUCCGGCUAACUCCGUGCCAGCAGCCGCGGUAACACGGAGGGGGCAAGCGUUGUCCGGAUUUACUGGGCGUGAAGCGCGCGUAGGCGGUCCACUAAGUCGGCUGUGAAAGCGCUGGGCUCAACUCAGCAAGGUCAGUCGAUACUGGUGGACUCGAGUCCGGGAGAGGGAAGUGGAAUUGCUGGUGUAGCGGUGGAAUGCGUAGAUAUCAGCAAGAACACCGGUGGCGAAGGCGGCUUCCUGGACCGGCACUGACGCUGAGGCGCGAAAGCUAGGGGAGCGAACCGGAUUAGAUACCCGGGUAGUCCUAGCUGUAAACGAUGGUCACUAGGUGUUGGGGGUAUCGACCCCCCCAGUGCCGCAGCUAACGCAUUAAGU